UUUAUUUUAAAUUUUGCUCGGAGUGCAAAAGUUCAAGUGUGGGAGAAUUUGAUCAGUUCAUUUUGAUGCACAUUCUUCUAUAUUUAUACUUAUGCAUUUCCAUGUUUUAGUUUGCUUAUUUUUCCCUUUUAAUGUGUUUUUAUAAUUUAUCUUAUUUUUACAAUUAUUUGUUUUUCGCCAUUUAUUUUCAGCAUUAGCA
rnacentral:lncRNA from 1 species